UAGGGAAUAUUGCAAAAUGGGCGAAAGCCCGAUGCAGCAACGCCGCGUGGGCGAUGAAGGCCUUCGGGUCGUAAAGCCCUUUUUGAGGGGAUGAGGAAGGACAGUACCCUCAGAAUAAGCAUCGGCUAACUACGUGCCAGCAGCCGCGGUAAAACGUAGGAGGCGAGCGUUAUCCGGAUUUACUGGGCGUAAAGCGCGUGCAGGCGGAUUGGAGAGUUGGAUGUGAAAGCUCCCGGCUUAACUGGGAGAGGUCGUUCAAUACUUCCAGUCUUGAGUGCAGUAGAGGGAAGUGGAAUUCCGGGUGUAGUGGUGAAAUGCGUAGAUAUCCGGAGGAACACCAGUGGCGAAAGCGGCUUCCUGGACUGUAACUGACGCUCAGACGCGAAAGCUAGGGUAGCAAACG
rnacentral:rRNA from 1 species